rnacentral:rRNA from 1 species
UAUAUUUGAGAGUUUGAUCCUGGCUCAGGAUGAACGCUGGCGGCGUGCCUAACACAUGCAAGUCGAGCGAACCCUUCGGGGUGAGCGGCGGACGGGUGAGUAACGCGUGGGUAACCUGCCCUGUACACACGGAUAACAUACCGAAAGGUAUGCUAAUACGGGAUAACAUAUGAGAGUCGCAUGGCUUUUAUAUCAAAGCUUUUGCGGUACAGGAUGGACCCGCGUCUGAUUAGCUAGUUGGUAAGGUAACGGCUUACCAAGGCAACGAUCAGUAGCCGACCUGAGAGGGUGAUCGGCCACAUUGGAACUGAGACACG